UGGAGAUGAUUGAUUCUGCA
rnacentral:siRNA from 1 species